GAUGAACGCUGGCGGCGUGCCUAAUACAUGCAAGUCGAGCGAACGGACGAGAAGCUUGCUUCUCUGAUGUUAGCGGCGGACGGGUGAGUAACACGUGGAUAACCUACCUAUAAGACUGGGAUAACUUCGGGAAACCGGAGCUAAUACCGGAUAAUAUUUUGAACCGCAUGGUUCAAAAGUGAAAGACGGUCUUGCUGUCACUUAUAGAUGGAUCCGCGCUGCAUUAGCUAGUUGGUAAGGUAACGGCUUACCAAGGCAACGAUGCAUAGCCGACCUGAGAGGGGGAUAGGCCCCACGGGAACAGGGCCCGGGACAGGACCCCUACGGGGGGCAAAAGUAGGGAAUCUGCCGGAGUGGGGGAAAGCCUGACGGAGCAACGCCGCGGGGGUGAAGAAGGUCUUGGGAUGGUAAAACUUUGUUUUGGGGGAAAAACAUGUGUGUAGGUAAAUGGGCACAUCGUAGGGGUACCUAAGCAGAAAGCCGAGGAUAACUGCGG
rnacentral:rRNA from 1 species